GAUGAACGCUGGCGGCGUGCCUAAUACAUGCAAGUCGAGCGAACGGACGAGAAGCUUGCUUCUCUGAUGUUAGCGGCGGACGGGUGAGUAACACGUGGAUAACCUACCUAUAAGACUGGGAUAACUUCGGGAAACCGGAGCUAAUACCGGAUGAUAUUUUGAACCGCAUGGUUCAAAAGUGAAAGACGGUCUUGCUGUCACUUAUAGAUGGAUCCGCGCUGCAUUAGCUAGUUGGUAAGGUAACGGCUUACCAAGGCAACGAUGCAUAGCCGACCUGAGAGGGUGAUCGGCCACACUGGAACUGAGACACGGUCCAGACUCCUACGGGAGGCAGCAGUAGGGAAUCUUCCGCAAUGGGCGAAAGCCUGACGGAGCAACGCUGCGUGAGUGAUGAAGGUCUUCGGAUCGUAAAACUCUGUUAUUAGGGAAGAACAUAUGUGUAAGUAACUGUGCACAUCUUGACGGUACCUAAUCAGAAAGCCACGGCUAACUACGUG
rnacentral:rRNA from 1 species